CCCUUAUGCUGAUAUUCUGCCAUCUGGCUGCAGUUAAGAGUUGUCAAGGACCCAUUAUAAGGUGUCAAUCACAUAACUUUAAAAAUUUGGUUAUUUAAAGGGUUGAAAACAAAGAGGAUAAAAACAACUGUUUUGCUGUUUACGGGUACAGUAGCUGCAUGUGCAGAUAAAAAAUUAUCGAGUCGAUAUUUAUUGAUUAAACUCAGGUGAUACUUAAAUAAUGUUUAACUAGUUCUAUUUUACCAAAU
rnacentral:lncRNA from 1 species